rnacentral:misc_RNA from 1 species
GAUGAAGAACGUAGCAAAAUGCGAUAAGUAAUGUGAAUUGCAGAAUUCAGUGAAUCAUCGAAUCUUUGAACGCACAUUGCGCCCGCCAGUAUUCUGGCGGGCAUGCCUGUUCGAGCGUCAUUUCAACCCUCAAGCACAGCUUGGUGUUGGGACUCGCGUUAAUUCGCGUUCCCCAAAUUGAUUGGCGGUCACGUCGAGCUUCCAUAGCGUAGUAGUAAAACCCUCGUUACUGGUAAUCGUCGCGGCCACGCCGUUAAACCCCAACUUCUGAAUGUUGACCUCGGAUCAGGUAGGAGUACCCGCUGAACUUAAGCAUAUCAAUAAGCGGAGGA